GACGAACCGUGCGAACGUUGUUCGGAAUCACUGGGCUUAAAGGGCGCGUAGGCGGGUCACCAAGUCUGGGGUGAAAUCCUCCAGCUUAACUGGAGAAUAGCCUUGGAUACUGGUGGUCUCGAGGGAGGUAGGGGCAGCUGGAACUUCCGGUGGAGCGGUGAAAUGCGUUGAUAUCGGAAGGAACGCCGGUGGCGAAAGCGAGCUGCUGGACCUCUUCUGACGCUGAGGCGCGAAAGCCAGGGGAGCAAACGGG
rnacentral:rRNA from 1 species